CCGGGGCUCCGAGCGCCGCCUCAGCUUCUGCGAGUGGGUGGCCGGGGGGGCGCCGGGGCGGGGAGUCCUCUCCCACCCCUCCCCUCACUUCCUCCCGCCCCCGCUCCCCAUUCUGACCCCCAGGGUCCUCUGUCUGUCCCCCUCCCUCCCGAUCCCUCCUCGCUCCCCACUCUCAUCCCUUCUGUCUCCUUUCCCGCCCCCCCACAGCUCUCCCCACGUUGGCCCCUCCAUCCGUCUCCCCCCUCUGACUCCCCUCUGUCUGCCCCCCGGGGUCCCCCGUCUUCCCUCUUCCUUCUCCCUCCCCCCUGCUGACCCCAUGUGCUGACCCCUAGAGUCCCCUGUACCCCCCAUGCCCUCCUCCCUGACCUCUGGAGUCCGCUCCCCCAUUUUGACCCCCAGUAUCCCCCAACGGGACCCCCUUUAUUCCCAUAGAACCCCCCGCGACCCCCAGCUCUCCCCUCCCUCCACCCCACAGAAGCCCCACUCACACAUUCUCCCCCCCCAAGAUUCCACACAACCCCCUCUCCACCCCCAGACUCCCUUUCCACCCCACAGAAGCCCCACUAACCCCUUUCCCCCCCCCUUCAGCCCCCCUUUUCCCCACUUAGAAUCGUGCCGAGGGAUCUGGAGACGUCCUAGAGAGGUUUGGGGGCAUCCAGGGGGUUCUGGACUCAUGCAGAAGAGUCUGGAGAUGUCCAAGGAGGAUCCAGGGAGUCCCCAGGCCUGCCUGCAGCCGGACCCGGUGACACCGGAGCCCUGUGGCGCUGUCACCAUCCUCUGUCCCGAGGACGGGAGGUGAACUCUGUGCCACCAGCAGAGGGGACCACGGGUGACAUCAGUGUGGAACAGCCGUGACGCGGCGGCGUUGUCAUUGGGUGUCACCGUCACGCAGAGGGGCCAAAAGGACCCCCCUGGGGGCAUUGCGUCGAGGUUGGGGACACCGUGAGCAGCUUGAGGACCUCCUAGUGGAAGUGGGGGCACCGCGUCACCGUGUCACACCCCAAAGUUGGGGACGCCCCCACAGUGUCACACCCCAAAGUUGGGGGCACCCCUGUAGUUUCACACCCCGAAGUUGGAAAAACCCCCACAGUGUCACACCCCAAAGUUGGGGACACCUCUGUGUCACCCCAAUGGUGUCCGACCCCAAAGCUGGGGACACUCCACAGUGUCACACCCCAAAGCUGGGGACGCCCCGACAGUGUCACAUCUCAAAUUUGGGACAGCUCUGUGUCCCCCCGAUGGUGUCAGACCCCAAAGUUGGGGACGCCCCCACAGUGUCACAGCCCAAACUUGUGGUCCGUCCCAGAGGUGGGACUGCCCCCACAUCCCCACCGUGGCGUCACAUCCCAAAGUUGGGGACCCCCCUCUGGGGACCCAUUCUGUGCGCCCCCCAUUGCAGACAGCACUGUUCCCAUGGGGUGGGGGUGGGGGGCACCCUUUAUUUUUGGGAUUAAGGUUUAUUUCGUGAUAACGGGGCGUUGGGGGAUGCCCCCCCCAUGUGAAUAAAGGGCGGAGGAGCGGCUGUGGGGCUCCGUGUGUCACACCGGGGGGUGCUUUGGGGACACUGCAGCAUCCCAGCCCCAUAGCCCCCAUGGCCCUAUAACCACUACAGCCCCAUCUCGUAGCCAUCCCAUAUCCAUAUCCCAUCCCAUAUCGCAUCCUGUAUCCAUAACCCUUCCAAUACCCAAACCAUCAUAUCCAUCCCACACCCAUAUCCCAAAUCCAUCCCGUAUCCAUAUCCCAAAUCCAUCCCGUAUCCAUCCCCUAUCCCAUGUCCGUAUCCCCGUAUCCCAUCCCAUAUCUCAUCCCGUAU
rnacentral:lncRNA from 7 species